rnacentral:tRNA from 3 species
GCGGACGUAGCUCAGUUGGUAGAGCACCACCUUGCCAAGGUGGGGGUCGCGAGUUCGAGUCUCGUCGUCCGCUCCA